rnacentral:misc_RNA from 1 species
CAAGCUCUUAAAAAAUGUAAUAAGAUAUCAUCUCCUAGUGGCCUUUUUAGUGUGAAGUCCAAUCGAAAAUUAUCUACAAAAAGCAAAAGGCCUGAAAAUAUUCUUAAAAGUCGAAAGAGGAAAAAGUACAAGGACUUUGCUCCUCUUAUCCAGAAGCAGUCGAACUAGAUUGUGGAAGACCAUUUCAUCUGCAUCUCUCAUGGUUUUUG